rfam:Freshwater sediment metagenome lwMethane_BCGO17828_x1, whole genome shotgun sequence.
UCCAUCGUGAGGUGGAAUCUGAAGGAAGCCGAUGGCAAAACGCUGGUCUGACGAACAGAAACCGCAUACGAGGCGGCCAUGACGGACAAGAGGGCAAUGAGACUCAAAGUCCAGUUCUUGCACGGAAGUCAUGGUCGUAGAUGCGGCAGACAUAAGCGCGGAGGUCAGUGCG